CGCCCCUAUUUCUUCUCAAAAUUAUACUGUCUACAGCCGAUAUAAUUUUUCUUGACUGAAACAGACACUCCUUCAAUCACUCACUCCACUCUAGGAGGAAUUAAAACAACUCAAUCGCUGACUUUCGCGAUAAAUCAUGCCUCUCGCGUCUUACCUUCCUAAGGUUUGCCAAGCUUAAGAUUUUCUAGGUCCUAACGACUAAUACUAAGCUCCUGAUACCAAUUUAAUCUGUCACGCCCCAGUUUACCACAUUUCCCCGAGCACGCCAACAGACCCGCCGUAUACAUAGGAAUUUCACCUGUAUACGAAGCGUUAGCUAUACCUUUAAACA
rnacentral:lncRNA from 1 species